rnacentral:rRNA from 1 species
GAUGAACGCUGGCGGCGUGCCUAACACAUGCAAGUCGAGCGGAGAUAAGAGGAGUACUUGUACGAGUUUUAUCUUAGCGGCGGACGGGUGAGUAACACGUGAGUAACCUGCCUUUUACUGGGGAAUAACAUCGAGAAAUCGGUGCUAAUACCGCAUAAUGUCACGAGGCUGCAUGGCCAUGUGACCAAAGGAGCAAUUCGGUAAAAGAUGGACUCGCGUCCGAUUAGGUAGUUGGUGAGGUAACGGCCCACCAAGCCUGCGAUCGGUAGCCGAACUGAGAGGUUGAUCGGCCAAAUUGGGAAUGAGACACGGCCCAGACUCCUACGGGAGGCAGCAGUGGGGAAUAUUGGGCAAUGGGGGAAACCCUGACCCAGCAACGCCGCGUGAAGGAUGAAGGUCUUCGGAUUGUAAACUUCUUUGAUCAGGGACGAAGAAAUGACGGUACCUGAAGAACAAGCCACGGCUAACUACGUGCCAGCCGCCGCGGUAA